rnacentral:rRNA from 1 species
GAUGAACGCUAGCGGCAGGCCUAACACAUGCAAGUCGAGGGGUAGAGUUAGCUUGCUAACUUGAGACCGGCGCACGGGUGCGUAACGCGUAUGCAAUCUACCUUGUACAGGGGGAUAAGCCAGAGAAAUUUGGAUUAAUACCCCAUGGUGUUUAGAAGUGGCAUCACCUUUUUACUAAAGUUCCAACGGUACAAGAUGAGCAUGCGUCCCAUUAGCUAGUUGGUAUGGUAACGGCAUACCAAGGCUAUGAUGGGUAGGGGUCCUGAGAGGGAGAUCCCCCACACUGGUACUGAGACACGGACCAGACUCCUACGGGAGGCAGCAGUGAGGAAUAUUGGUCAAUGGUCGCAAGCCUGAACCAGCCAUGCCGCGUGCAGGAUGACGGCCCUAUGGGUUGUAAACUGCUUUUAUACGGGAAGAAACACCUCUUCGUGAAGAGGCUUGACGGUACCGUAAGAAUAAGGAUCGGCUAACUCCGUGCCAGCAGCCGCAGUAAUAC